rnacentral:sRNA from 1 species
GAGGUUCGACCCGAGCGAAGCGAGAGAACGUUGCGUCAGCAACGGCCCGCAGGGCGAGCCAUCCUCUAUCACUGGCA